UGUGUAGGGACAUCUCGUAGAAGAAAGGGUGCAUUAGAGAAAGCUACAAGAAAGAGAAAACGUCAAACUAAAGCAUCCUCUCAUAUUCAACAGCUCACACCGGAAGAUAGCAUGAGAAAUUUAAAUACACCUGGCUUUACUGAUAUGCUGAACUUGACACAGGAAGAUAGCAUGGGAAAUUUAAAUACACCUGGCUUUACUGAUAU